AUACGGAGGGUGCAAGCGUUACUCGGAAUUACUGGGCGUAAAGCGUGCGUAGGCGGUUUGCUAAGUCAGAUGUGAAAGCCCCGGGCUUAACCUGGGAACUGCAUUUGAUACUGGCAGACUAGAGUAUGAUAGAGGGGGGUAGAAUUCCUGGUGUAGCGGUGAAAUGCGUAGAUAUCAGGAGGAAUACCAGUGGCGAAGGCGGCCCCCUGGAUCAAUACUGACGCUGAGGUACGAAAGCGUGGGGAGCGAACAGGAUUAGAAACCCUAGUAGUCC
rnacentral:rRNA from 1 species